rnacentral:rRNA from 1 species
UGAGUAACCUGCCCUUCACUCUGGGAUAACUCCGGGAAACCGGGCUAAUACUGGAUAUGACUCGAACAGGCAUCUGUUUCGGGUGGAAAGAUUUUAUUGGUGGAGGAUGGACUCGCGGCCUAUCAGCUUGUUGGUGAGGUAAUGGCUCACCAAGGCGACGACGGGUAGCCGGCCUGAGAGGGCGAUCGGCCACACUGGGACUGAGACACGGCCCAGACUCCUACGGGAGCA